GGAAGGGUGGGUGAGUGGCUUAAACCAGCGGUUUGCUAAACCGUCGUAGUCUGUCAAGGACUACCGGGGGUUCGAAUCCCCCCCCUUCCGCCA
rnacentral:tRNA from 1 species